rnacentral:lncRNA from 1 species
GGCUAAAUUGUCAACCCUGAAAGAAUUAUCCACAUUGUAUUCCAACCUUUCAAAUCCAUCACAUGGAUUAUCCUAGCUAAGAUUUUACUAAAUUGAAAUACAGUGAUGCAUUAGCUCCUAUAAUUUAUAGGGAUCAAUCCCAUCUUGAUCCACACAGACUUUCUAAGUACUUGACAGUACCGAGAGCCUUCUGUCAAUGCAUUAGAAAUACAGAUAAUUCCAUACCAAAAUAUAGUGAUUUGCUUGUAAGUCACUAUGAUGAUCUUAGAUCUAAGAAACACUUAUACCCAUAUACUUCGUGAGUUGCUCUUGAUAGC